rnacentral:rRNA from 1 species
AGUAGAAGUCGUAACAAGGUCUCCGUUGGUGAACCAGCGGAGGGAUCAUUACCGAGUUUACAACUCCCAAACCCAAUGUGAACGUUACCAAACUGUUGCCUCGGCGGGGUCACGCCCCGGGUGCGUCGCAGCCCCGGAACCAGGCGCCCGCCGGAGGAACCAACCAAACUCUUUCUGUAGUCCCCUCGCGGACGUAUUUCUUACAGCUCUGAGCAAAAAUUCAAAAUGAAUCAAAACUUUCAACAACGGAUCUCUUGGUUCUGGCAUCGAUGAAGAACGCAGCGAAAUGCGAUAAGUAAUGUGAAUUGCAGAAUUCAGUGAAUCAUCGAAUCUUUGAACGCACAUUGCGCCCGCCAGUAUUCUGGCGGGCAUGCCUGUCCGAGCGUCAUUUCAACCCUCGAACCCCUCCGGGGGAUCGGCGUUGGGGAUCGGGACCCCUCACACGGGUGCCGGCCCCGAAAUACAGUGGCGGUCUCGCCGCAGCCUCUCCUGCGCAGUAGUUUGCACAACUCGCACCGGGAGCGCGGCGCGUCCACGUCCGUAAAACACCCAACUUUCUGAAAUGUUGACCUCGGAUCAGGUAGGAAUACCCGCUGAACUUAAGUAUAUCAAUAAGCGGAGGAAAAGAAACCAACCA